GAUGAAGAACGCAGCGAAAUGCGAUAAGUAGUGUGAAUUGCAGAAUUCAGUGAAUCAUCGAAUCUUUGAACGCACAUUGCGCCCCAUGGUAUUCCGUGGGGCAUGCCUGUUCGAGCGUCAUUUACCCCCUCAAGCUCCGCUUGGUGUUGGGCGUCUGUCCCGCUUCGCGCGCGGACUCGCCCCAAAGGUAUUGGCAGCGGUCGUGCCAGCUUCUCGCGCAGCACAUUGCGCUUCUCGAGGCACCGGUGGGCCCGCGUCCAUCAAGCUCACCCCCCCAGUUUGACCUCGGAUCAGGUAGGGAUACCCGCUGAACUUAAGCAUAUCAAUAAGCGGGAGGA
rnacentral:misc_RNA from 1 species